UGCACGAACGCGAGACGGACGGACGGACGGACGAAUAAUAAACGGAUAAGCCGACUUUACGUACCACCGAGUGUAAGUAGGUUCGUACCAAGGAUGAAGGGUGAGGCGACGAAGAGGGGGACUAAAUUAAGGGAGGACUCGACUUGGCGCCGAAGGCGUUCGCCACCCCUUUCUAUACAGGGGUGGAUUUUCGCGCGGCCCGCGGUGUCGGGAAACGAAACUUGCUUUCAGAAUGCAAAUUUCACCCGUAUACGUACGCGGUGUGCGCGUGUGCGGAGGGUGAGUUCCAAGGGAAUUUAAAUAAAGAGGUUUUUCGAUCGAUCUCGGAGUCUUUUGAUUUUGCCGACCACGGGAUCGCGAAUACUGCUUUGGAAUCAAAGGCCGUGACCAUCCAGCAUUUCGCGACGAUCGCACGAUAAUUCGUCGAUGCAGGAAUAUGAGGUAUUCGGAGCCGAUCGCGCGAGCUAUCGUCGGAAUUUUUAUGAUACGUUCGAUUCGACGGCGAUCGUUGCGAACGUGGCGUACGCUAAAGGGCUACGUAUUACCGAACACAAGCGCGUCGAUGCGGUAGAAAGGAAGUUUGACCUCAGAACUUGGACUAGUUUUCGCAAAAUCUCACCCACACGAAGACACGAGUUAUCGAGGCUCUCGUACGACCGUGUGGUAAACUUGGCAUGCGUCGAGAGACACACGCAAAUCUGCAUGCGCGCGACUACUUCACUAUUGCGUGUACACGUUACAAAACGAUCCCAACCGUCGUUUACCACCGGCCGUUACCCCUUCGUCGAUUCGCGUGUUUUGCCACGAAUACUGCAGAGGCGAAGAAAAGGAAGAGGAAGAGGAAGAACACGUUGUUCGACGAGAGGUGGUCACCACUAUAGACGGUCGCCAACGUGAGGCGAACGUACGAACUGAGAGCCCACGGAGGACGCAAUAUGCAGUUAGCCUAAUAGCGGAGAGAAGAGGAGCCUGCAGUCUCGGGGGCUCGCGAGGGCUCAAGGGCACCAGUAGGGGCUCAGGAGUAUUGGGCAACGUGGUAUUCUUUGAUACGAGUAUCUCGCUCGGGACGCAAAAUAAACGUAUAGGUAAACUCUUCGAUCGGAGUGUAGACGAUCGACCCCGAGUCAAAUCGUACGUUCUUCGAAAAAUGAGAAUUGUUUCGUCAUUCCCAAAGAUUCGCCAACGUGUAUCAGGUGAAAAAAAAAAUGGCGGGACACGUUUCUCUGCGUUCAGAAUCAGCGUGAAUCGACGUUCGUUUGUACAAAAUUUUGUUAAAUUAAAACUACAGCAAAAUCCGGAUUAACUUUUUGGCUCGAAACCGGUUGACUUCCGUCGAAAUUAUCGAGAGGAGGAGAGACGCGUGUCGCAAAAAAUAUACCAAACAUUUCCGUGCAAAUCGACCGAAACUGAAGGACCAUUUGGAAAAAUUCAAAAAAAAAUAAAAAAUUGUGCACAACAGUACCUACCGAUUUCAAAAACGAGGACGAUCGCUACGUCUAUAGCAGCGCGAUUGGCGACCACCUCUAGAGCUUUUCCGUUUCAAAUUGAAUCGCGGCCAAGAAACUCAAUGUUAGUCACUCUGCCUAAAUUUAUGAAUCGUAGCCGUUUUCGUUUGAAAAUACGCUAUUUUUAUCAGCUCACGUGCCUGUUUGGAAACUCGUGUUUCCAUUGUACAAAAAAAAACAAAAAAAAAAA
rnacentral:lncRNA from 1 species